rnacentral:rRNA from 1 species
UUAAGCGACUAAGCGUACACGGUGGAUGCCCUGGCAGUCAGAGGCGAUGAAGGACGUGCUAAUCUGCGAUAAGCGUCGGUAAGGUGAUAUGAACCGUUAUAACCGGCGAUUUCCGAAUGGGGAAACCCAGUGUGAUUCGUCACACUAUCAUUAACUGAAUCCAUAGGUUAAUGAGGCGAACCGGGGGAACUGAAACAUCUAAGUACCCCGAGGAAAAGAAAUCAACCGAGAUUCCCCCAGUAGCGGCGAGCGAACGGGGAGCAGCCCAGAGCCUGAAUCAGUGUGUGUGUUAGUGGAAGCGUCUGGAAAGGCGUGCGAUACAGGGUGACAGCCCCGUACACAAAAAUGCACAUGCUGUGAGCUCGAUGAGUAGGGCGGGACACGUGGUAUCCUGUCUGAAUAUGGGGGGACCAUCCUCCAAGGCUAAAUACUCCUGACUGACCGAUAGUGAACCAGUACCGUGAGGGAAAGGCGAAAAGAACCCCGGCGAGGGGAGUGAAAAAGAACCUGAAACCGUGUACGUACAAGCAGUGGGAGCACGCUUAGGCGUGUGACUGCGUACCUUUUGUAUAAUGGGUCAGCGACUUAUAUUCUGUAGCAAGGUUAACCGAAUAGGGGAGCCGAAGGGAAACCGAGUCUUAACUGGGCGUUAAGUUGCAGGGUAUAGACCCGAAACCCGGUGAUCUAGCCAUGGGCAGGUUGAAGGUUGGGUAACACUAACUGGAGGACCGAACCGACUAAUGUUGAAAAAUUAGCGGAUGACUUGUGGCUGGGGGUGAAAGGCCAAUCAAACCGGGAGAUAGCUGGUUCUCCCCGAAAGCUAUUUAGGUAGCGCCUCGUGAAUUCAUCUCCGGGGGUAGAGCACUGUUUCGGCAAGGGGGUCAUCCCGACUUACCAACCCGAUGCAAACUGCGAAUACCGGAGAAUGUUAUCACGGGAGACACACGGCGGGUGCUAACGUCCGUCGUGAAGAGGGAAACAACCCAGACCGCCAGCUAAGGUCCCAAAGUCAUGGUUAAGUGGGAAACGAUGUGGGAAGGCCCAGACAGCCAGGAUGUUGGCUUAGAAGCAGCCAUCAUUUAAAGAAAGCGUAAUAGCUCACUGGUCGAGUCGGCCUGCGCGGAAGAUGUAACGGGGCUAAACCAUGCACCGAAGCUGCGGCAGCGACGCUUAUGCGUUGUUGGGUAGGGGAGCGUUCUGUAAGCCUGCGAAGGUGUGCUGUGAGGCAUGCUGGAGGUAUCAGAAGUGCGAAUGCUGACAUAAGUAACGAUAAAGCGGGUGAAAAGCCCGCUCGCCGGAAGACCAAGGGUUCCUGUCCAACGUUAAUCGGGGCAGGGUGAGUCGACCCCUAAGGCGAGGCCGAAAGGCGUAGUCGAUGGGAAACAGGUUAAUAUUCCUGUACUUGGUGUUACUGCGAAGGGGGGACGGAGAAGGCUAUGUUGGCCGGGCGACGGUUGUCCCGGUUUAAGCGUGUAGGCUGGUUUUCCAGGCAAAUCCGGAAAACUAAGGCUGAGGCGUGAUGACGAGGCACUACGGUGCUGAAGCAACAAAUGCCCUGCUUCCAGGAAAAGCCUCUAAGCAUCAGGUAACAUCAAAUCGUACCCCAAACCGACACAGGUGGUCAGGUAGAGAAUACCAAGGCGCUUGAGAGAACUCGGGUGAAGGAACUAGGCAAAAUGGUGCCGUAACUUCGGGAGAAGGCACGCUGAUAUGUAGGUGAAGUCCCUCGCGGAUGGAGCUGAAAUCAGUCGAAGAUACCAGCUGGCUGCAACUGUUUAUUAAAAACACAGCACUGUGCAAACACGAAAGUGGACGUAUACGGUGUGACGCCUGCCCGGUGCCGGAAGGUUAAUUGAUGGGGUUAGCGCAAGCGAAGCUCUUGAUCGAAGCCCCGGUAAACGGCGGCCGUAACUAUAACGGUCCUAAGGUAGCGAAAUUCCUUGUCGGGUAAGUUCCGACCUGCACGAAUGGCGUAAUGAUGGCCAGGCUGUCUCCACCCGAGACUCAGUGAAAUUGAACUCGCUGUGAAGAUGCAGUGUACCCGCGGCAAGACGGAAAGACCCCGUGAACCUUUACUAUAGCUUGACACUGAACAUUGAGCCUUGAUGUGUAGGAUAGGUGGGAGGCUUUGAAGUGUGGACGCCAGUCUGCAUGGAGCCGACCUUGAAAUACCACCCUUUAAUGUUUGAUGUUCUAACGUUGACCCGUAAUCCGGGUUGCGGACAGUGUCUGGUGGGUAGUUUGACUGGGGCGGUCUCCUCCUAAAGAGUAACGGAGGAGCACGAAGGUUGGCUAAUCCUGGUCGGACAUCAGGAGGUUAGUGCAAUGGCAUAAGCCAGCUUGACUGCGAGCGUGACGGCGCGAGCAGGUGCGAAAGCAGGUCAUAGUGAUCCGGUGGUUCUGAAUGGAAGGGCCAUCGCUCAACGGAUAAAAGGUACUCCGGGGAUAACAGGCUGAUACCGCCCAAGAGUUCAUAUCGACGGCGGUGUUUGGCACCUCGAUGUCGGCUCAUCACAUCCUGGGGCUGAAGUAGGUCCCAAGGGUAUGGCUGUUCGCCAUUUAAAGUGGUACGCGAGCUGGGUUUAGAACGUCGUGAGACAGUUCGGUCCCUAUCUGCCGUGGGCGCUGGAGAACUGAGGGGGGCUGCUCCUAGUACGAGAGGACCGGAGUGGACGCAUCACUGGUGUUCGGGUUGUCAUGCCAAUGGCACUGCCCGGUAGCUAAAUGCGGAAGAGAUAAGUGCUGAAAGCAUCUAAGCACGAAACUUGCCCCGAGAUGAGUUCUCCCUGACUCCUUGAGAGUCCUGAAGGAACGUUGAAGACGACGACGUUGAUAGGCCGGGUGUGUAAGCGCAGCGAUGCGUUGAGCUAACCGGUACUAAUGAACCGUGAGGCUUAACCU